AUUGAACGCUGGCGGCAGGCCUAACACAUGCAAGUCGAACGAGUGGAGGAGGGGUGAGUAGUGUAUGGGAAACUGCCUGAUGGAGGGGGAUAACUACUGGAAACGGUAGCUAAUACCGCAUACGAUCAGAUUUGCCCAGAUGGGAUUAGCUUGUUGGGGGGGUAACGGCUCACCAAGGCGACGAUCCCUAGCUGGUCUGAGAGGAUGACCAGCCACUCGGGAACUGAGACACGGCCCAGACUCCUACGUGAGGCAGCAGUGGGGAAUAUUGCACAAUGGUCGCAAGCCUGAUGCAGCCAUGCCGCGUGGAUGAAGAAGGCCUUCGGGUUGUAAAGUACUUUCAGCGGGGAGGCGUUACCCGCAGAAGAAGCACCGGCUAACUCCGUGCCAGCAGCCGCGGUAAUUC
rnacentral:rRNA from 1 species